AGAGUUUGAUCCUGGCUCAAGAUGAACGCCGGCGGUGUGCCUAAUACAUGCAAGUCGAACGCGUUGGUCCAAUUGACAACUGGUGCUUGCACCGGUUAUAUUUUGGUCGCCAACGAGUGGCGGACGGGUGAGUAACACGUAGGUAACCUGCCCAGAAGCGGGGGACAACAUUUGAAAACAGAUGCUAAUACCGCAUAACAACGUUGUUCGCAUGAACAACGUUUCAAAGAUGGCCUCUGGCUAUCUCUUCUGGAUGGACCUGCGGUGCAUUAGCUAGUUGGUAAGGUAACGGCCUACCAAGGCGAUGAUGCAUAGCCGAGUUGAGAGACUGAUCGGCCACAAUGGAACUGAGACACGGUCCAUACUCCUACGGGAGGCAGCAGUAGGGAAUCUUCCACAAUGGGCGCAAGCCUGAUGGAGCAACACCGCGUGAGUGAAGAAGGGUUUCGGCUCGUAAAGCUCUGUUGUUGGAGAAGAACGUGCGUGAGAGUAACUGUUCACGCAGUGACGGUAUCCAACCAGAAAGUCACGGCUAACUACGUGCCAGCAGCCGCGGUAAUACGUAGGUGGCAAGCGUUAUCCGGAUUUAUUGGGCGUAAAGCGAGCGCAGGCGGUUGCUUAGGUCUGAUGUGAAAGCCUUCGGCUUAACCGAAGAAGUGCAUCGGAAACCGGGCGACUUGAGUGCAGAAGAGGACAGUGGAACUCCAUGUGUAGCGGUGGAAUGCGUAGAUAUAUGGAAGAACACCAGUGGCGAAGGCGGCUGUCUGGUCUGCAACUGACGCUGAGGCUCGAAAGCAUGGGUAGCGAACAGGAUUAGAUACCCUGGUAGUCCAUGCCGUAAACG
rnacentral:rRNA from 1 species